UUGAAGGGCGAUUGUAAUUACAUUGAUGGGAACACUUACUAAUAUGUAAAAUAUCUUUAACUAACUGUAGGGUUCUUCAUUUUGGUGGGUACCGGUUUUUGUGAUGAAGGAAAGUUAUCCUGAAAAUACUAAUGAAUCUACAGUCAGCCUGCACUGUUAGUCGCUAGUCUGAUUCCCCAGACUAGUGAAAUUUAUUUUGACUAGUAAAUGUUUUGCAAAACUUUGUUUACAGGCAUAAGCAUGAUAAUACAAAUGUCUGAAUAUUUGUCUUUGGACAAGAAGUUAGAAAAGAUUUUGGUGCAGGGUAUAGACUGUACAUAACUUCUAGUUAAGUUAUAUUUAAGUUAUAAUUUAAAUUAUAAAUGAGUGAUCAGGCUUAUUAAAAAAUAUCUUAAGAUUCAAAAUAC
rnacentral:lncRNA from 1 species